rnacentral:rRNA from 1 species
CACGUAGGGCGCGAGCGUUGUCCGGAAUUAUUGGGCGUAAAGAGCUCGUAGGCGGCCUGUUGCGUCCGCUGUGAAAGCCCGGGGCUUAACCCCGGGUCGGCAGUGGAUACGGGCAGGCUAGAGGUAGGUAGGGGAGAGUGGAAUUCCCGGUGUAGCGGUGAAAUGCGCAGAUAUCGGGAGGAACACCGGUGGCGAAGGCGGUUCUCUGGGCCUUACCUGACGCUGAGGAGCGAAAGCGUGGGGAGCGAACAGG